rnacentral:rRNA from 1 species
GCCCUAGUAACGGCGAGUGAAGCGGCAACAGCUCAAAUUUGAAAUCUGGCUCUUUUAGAGUCCGAGUUGUAAUUUGCAGAGGGCGCUUUGGCUUUGGCAGCGGUCCAAGUUCCUUGGAACAGGACGUCACAGAGGGUGAGAAUCCCGUACGUGGUCGCUGGCUAUUGCCGUGUAAAGCCCCUUCGACGAGUCGAGUUGUUUGGGAAUGCAGCUCUAAAUGGGAGGUACAUUUCUUCUAAAGCUAAAUAUUGGCCAGAGACCGAUAGCGCACAAGUAGAGUGAUCGAAAGAUGAAAAGCACUUUGGAAAGAGAGUCAAACAGCACGUGAAAUUGUUGAAAGGGAAGCGCUUGCAGCCAGACUUGCUUACAGUUGCUCAUCCGGGUUUCUACCCGGUGCACUCUUCUGUAGGCAGGCCAGCAUCAGUUUGGGCGGUAGGAUAAAGGUCUCUGUCACGUACCUCCUUUCGGGGAGGCCUUAUAGGGGAGACGACAUACUACCAGCCUGGACUGAGGUCCGCGCAUCUGCUAGGAUGCUGGCGUAAUGGCUGUAAGCGGCCCGUCUUGAAACACGGACCAAGGAGUCUAACAUCUAUGCGAGUGU